CCCUCCACCAUCGGUAUUCACUCCCUCAUUCUCCAUUCACCAUUUUCCCCAAAUUGAGAUCCCCAAUUUGAGCAACCCUUAAUUCCCGUCGCCUCCUCCGACUCACUCUACACCGGCGACCACAACGCCCUCUCACUCCCUUCUACGUCCUCUCUACACUCCGGCUAAACAACACAGUCAAGUCACGAUUCGCCCUUCGUUCCACCACCGCCUUUGAUUUCGGUUCGCGAGGUCUCAUCACCACCACUCCGUCGCCGUCAGAACGGAGUUUCUGUGCUACUGUUUGGAAGCCGCUGCCGUGGAAUCACCGCAGCCGAACAUCAGCGCCGAAUCAGGCGCCUCAUUGUCCCAGCUUUGCCGCAAUGUCUCGCCGUCGCCACUUGUUUAUUUAAUCGAGGAAGCGGACAGACUCGCCGUCUGAUUUUGAUGCUGCCGAUUCUCGCCUAGCGGUGAGAGGCGCUCGAGAAUCCACCAAGCAGUCGCUGCCAUCGGGGUCUCACUUCGGUCGGUGUCAUUCUCCAGCCAUCUCGGCUGCAUUGUCACUAUCAAUUUCGUCGGACUUCCGUGGACUUCUAGGCUUAAUAGUUGUGUGGCAAUGGAGGCGUUCUUGUUCUAGUUCAGGCCAUCAUGAACUUAAAGUUAUCGGGCUGAGACAAUAUUUCCUCAUACAUGGCUGCUAUCUCCCUCCUAAAAUCUAAAGCUUUAUCUAUUCUUUUGCACCUUUGUGAAGCUGAAAGUGUAUCCUACCUGGAUGAGGUGGCCAGCAACACAACAACUAGGGAUGUGGCAAAGUCUGUUGGACUCGAGGUUCUUCAAUUGCUGAAAAAUGUUUGGUAUAGAUUCAAGACAGUUAAAAGCUCCCUCCGAGGCAAGUUACCCGAAGGGUCAACUGGAACGUAAUACAAAGCGCUUGGCAGAUGUCGUCUCAGAUGCUUCAAAUUUUCGGUCAUUCAUCAUGAUAAACUUUAAGCUGACAAAGUGUCUAAAGUUAGCAAGAACUUAUGUUCACAGUUGAGUCAUUCUGAAUCUUUAGUUCCAGGAGUUUU